rnacentral:rRNA from 1 species
CAGGGUGAGUCGACCCCUAAGGCGAGGCCGAAAGGCGUAGUCGAUGGGAAACAGGUUAAUAUUCCUGUACUUGGUGUUACUGCGAAGGGGGGACGGAGAAGGCUAUGUUGGCCGGGCGACGGUUGUCCCGGUUUAAGCGUGUAGGCUGGUUUUCCAGGCAAAUCCGGAAAAUCAAGGCUGAGGCGUGAUGACGAGGCACUACGGUGCUGAAGCAACAAAUGCCCUGCUUCCAGGAAAAGCCUCUAAGCAUCAGGUAACAUCAAAUCGUACCCCAAACCGACACAGGUGGUCAGGUAGAGAAUACCAAGGCGCUUGAGAGAACUCGGGUGAAGGAACUAGGCAAAAUGGUGCCGUAACUUCGGGAGAAGG